GCUGUGUUUGUACGCGAGGUUCAGCUCUGCCUUAUUUUGGUUGCCAUCUUCGGCUUGUUGUUUCGUGUGACGGUUGCAACGUUGGUUUUUCGUUGCGUUUUCAAUUUCCCGAUCAACCUUUGGAGGCUGCUGCUGUUGCGGUGAAAACAAGGCAGACACGAGCUACUUCGAAACCGGUAUCUGACUUGCGCCGAGCAGCAUGGACAACUUCGAGCGAAUAUUGGUCGACGUCGACUGCAGCCGGUACGAGGAGGAUGCGUUUUCGCUGCUGGAUAAGUCGCGGGAUGUCAACAUAGUGCGGGACCUGCGCUCAUCGACCGUGUCGGCGUUUGAUCAGACGAGCUUCCCGCAGCUGAAUAUUUCGUCCCGCACGCAACUCAAGCAGCAGCUGUUCCGCGAGCAGAUCAAAAACAGUGAGCCCGGACCGCGCGCCAUGGUUACCUCGCCCGGACCGCCCGUGCUAUCCGUACGGCUUCCACUCGAGAACAUCGACAUCGAGCUGCCGAAAAAGGUGCUCCAGGUAGAGACGAAGUUGGAGAACCCGACGCGCUACCACGUGAUACAGAAGCAGAAGACGCAGGUGCGUGAGUAUGUGACGGCGGCGCUCAAGCUGACCAAGCAGAAUCUGGUGCGUGAGUCGUGCCGCCACACACGUCUCAUGAUUCUCGGCCGGCUGUACGAUUCGUUCAUCAACACAAAGCCCACGCAAGGUCAGGCAACGCCGGGCGGCCAGGCUGCGAUUGGUGCGCCAGGUCCAGGCGGCGGCGGUGGUGGAGGAACUACUGCUAAUGGCAGCGGACCUGGUGCCGUCACUCCACUGGGACCCUCGUCAGGGAAGCUGGCGAGUGGUGGUGGAACGCCCGUGGCAGCGAUGAUGACAGGGACGCCCUCGGCAACACCGACCAUUGAGCAGCAGCAGGAGUGGCGGCUGGAGAUGAAACUAUCCUGCCGCUUCGGCAACAAGCUGUACCAGACGUUCGUGGAUGAGUUCGACUAUGUGCGAGACCUGCUCGGGCUGAUCCGGUUCGAGAUCCCCAAGUGGGUGUACGUGGUGUCAGAGUUCGAGGACGAGAUUUCAUCGUACGAGAGUAGUAGGGCUGCAAGGGCGGCUCAGCAGGCUGCGGCAGCCGCUAUCUCCGACCAGGAGUACCUGCUUCGCUCGAGCUUAGGCGGUGAGAAGGGAUCAAAGCACGAGAAGUUCAUCGAGCCGGAGGUGCGCGACCGGAUAAAGAAGGAUAACCACAACUGCAGUAGGUAUCGGGCGUAGUGGACCUGACGUUUAUUGGAACCCUGGUGAACCCUCUGGAGAUACGCUGUCUCCUUUUCUGUAGUAAGCUCCAAGUAGCAUCGGUAUGUAAGGAUUCUAAGGUUGUGUCAAAGCCUACAAACGUAUGGUUUAUCCAAAUUUGAAGCUAAUAUGGUGAUGAACACGUAACAUCCAUCCAUCUAUUUUGAAGUCCAGUUCAUGAUGUGGUGUCUGGAUUGUAUCACAUUGUCUAUACACUAGAAAUGUUCUAUUCUGGACAGCCAGUUUGCUGUCUUUGCUUUCUUUGUUUCUCGCUUUCCCUUUUUUCCAUCUACAAGAGUCUCUAGUAUCUGGGAGUCGGAACGUUCUGCGAUAUAGAGUGAUAGCUGUCUUCCUCUUGGCUGUGCAAAGUGCCCCCAACGCUAGUCUCCGGUGUUUGGAAUCAACACUACGAGCGGGCCGCAGUCCAUUCCGGAGGAUAUGUUUUCGUCAGCGGCUGCAAAUGACAGCGAGGCGGUUGUAAAUAAAUAAGCAGCACGAAUAAAACGCUGAGGUCCGCGGUUCAACACCUCGGCGAAAAGUCGGCCCUACCCCCUGCCAGAGGAUACGAUGGAUAUGACCUUCCGAGUUUAGGUCCGGCAGCUCCAGGGAUGAAUAAAAUAUAACCAUCGAAUAUGGUUCCAACGAAACCAGAAUGUUUUCGAAUCAAGCUACCAGAGCUGAUCGGGAUUCCCGUCGGUCAGUUCCUUGUCUCGUCGUAAAGGCAGGAGAGGUCGGGUUACAUCGGUGGAGUCUUCAGCAUCGUUCGUAUCGAUCCACGGAAUGAUUUUGAGUUUCUAUCAGAAGACGACUAUUGAUUCUUCACCUCUUCCAGUGAUACUACGCUCGAUGAGAUAAAGUGACCUUAUGGAAAAAACUACUGCAUCGCUAAUCGAAGGUCAAUAAACCAAAGACAUUUCCUCGACGAUAUCUUGUGCAACUUAUUUUGCAAAAGUAAACCGUGGCAGAAAGGAUAAGAAUCAUCCUGGAAGGGAAAGAUCUAAACAAAAAGGCUUAAAGUCGUUGAAACCGAUGUAAAAGGCAAUUCCUAUGGCAAUAAAUUUCAGGCAAUGCAACCAAGUGUCUGUACUCCU